rnacentral:rRNA from 1 species
GACGAACGCUGGCGGCGUGCUUAACACAUGCAAGUCGAACGGUAAGGCCCUUCGGGGUACACGAGUGGCGAACGGGUGAGUAACACGUAGGUGAUCUGCCCUGCACUUCGGGAUAAGCCUGGGAAACUGGGUCUAAUACCGGAUAGGACUCCUGGCUUCAUGGUUGGGGGUGGAAAGCUUUUGCGGUGUGGGAUGGGCCCGCGGCCUAUCAGCUUGUUGGUGGGGUAAUGGCCUACCAAGGCGACGACGGGUAGCCGGCCUGAGAGGGUGAUCGGUCACACUGGGACUGAGAUACGGCCCAGACUCCUACGGGAGGCAGCAGUGGGGAAUAUUGCACAAUGGGCGCAAGCCUGAUGCAGCGACGCCGCGUGAGGGAUGACGGCCUUCGGGUUGUAAACCUCUUUCAGCUAUGACGAAGCGCAAGUGACGGUAGUAGCAGAAGAAGGACCGGCCAACUACGUGCCAGCAGCCGCGGUAA